UUCUUGCAGCCUAAACUCUCUGCUUUUCUGUCUGCCACAUGGCUCCACAGCACUCAACCCCUCAUGCUUUCCCUACUAAGACAGAUGAAAACCCUUAGGUAAAGCAAAUCUUAGCUAGUAGAGAGGGAUGCUGACUUGUGUGGCAAGCCCUGGCUUGUGCGUUCAAAUGGUAUCCUAAAUGUGAAAUCAAUUGGGAAACUCAGAAGUCCAGUAACAGUCUUAGCUUUUUUAUUCUGUCAAACCUCUCAGUCCCAUCAAAGCAGGGUCAAAAGUCAAGCUGAACCAGUUCUGGCAGCAAGGGACAUGCAGUUUUAGAAACACAGGACACAUCCUCCAUGACAUUAAAAUCUCACCCAAUUCCUCAUUAGCUUUGUGUACGAGUAGAGAGGGGAUGGAAGCAAUGUGGCAGUUAUUCACUUUAUUAAAUUAAUUAUCCAGAUAUUUAGACAAAUGCAAUUAUAAAGCCUUGCUGCUCUGUUCCUAUCUAGAAACCCAACUCUCUACUGCCACAGAAACAUUACCAAGGGCACAUUCCUUGUGUGAACAGCUGUCCCAUGGAGAACAACUGUUCUAUGAGGUUACCACAAUUAUCCCUGUAUGACAUUGACUUUAUUACCAGUCCUACUGACAGCAGACUUCCAAGUAAAGGGAUGAAUAGUUCAACAGUUUCACUUCAACCAAUAAUGGUUGGGGCCCAAACAGAUCCCCCCCCCCAACCCACAAAGGAUGCAGGAAAUUAAGACCCAAGUGAUCCCAAGCUAGCAAAUUAAACAAUAAACUUAGGGAACCAGGCCACACUUUAUUACCAAGAGAGUAACACCUUUUAAUUGCUUAACACAACAAAUAGAGAGGUGGCAGCUCUGGGAAGCGGGCUUUGGAUCCAUCAGCUUAGCCAUUAGGCCGGUUUAAGAAAACAAAACCCCUUCCUUACUUAAUUUGGAAACUGUGAUUUUGAUUAUGAAACAAGGGGUCACUGAGGAAUAGGGCAGCAACAGCAAGAAACAGAAGGCAACUUUCCAGCUGCUAAGAACUAAAUUUAUUAGGACAACCUCGUAAAGGUAUGUGUAAUUGAGUGAAAAUAUAACUUCAUCAGUUUAACCUUACAAGGGAAACUUCACUCAUAGAAAAUCAAGGAAAGGCAAAACUCUGUUUCUUCGGAUGCAUAUAAAAGACUUGAGUUGUGUGAGAAUUUAAGUGUGAAUGAUGCAUAAAUCAACUUCAUGGAUCCACCCCUGAAUGUGCUUCCUUGCCUCAGUUAUCCUACUCUGUCAAUAAGGCUAUACAAAUGUAUUAGGUAGCUGAAAAUACUGGUCUUACUUCUAAUGAAGACCAUCUGUACUUACAAGCAUUAGGCAGUAUUGUAUUUUAAAAGUAUUGUUGUGACUCUUAUAAUGAAAAGAUUGGCUGUGGAGGUGGCUCUAAUGACCAUUGUCAAGGGUCUUCUUUUUUUGAAACCUGGUUCCAGUUCCACACUGUAGUAGUUGUUCACAGGGGCAAGAAACAACCCUGGCACAUCCACUGCAGUCCAUACUUCAUUCUGGUAUCUCAAGUGCUCUCUAAUAUCCCUUUUCCACUUCAACAUCCCACUUAGACUUCUGUAUUUUGUUUAGUUCUUGUAGCUUAGAUUCCCCGAGAGCAGUGGUUUUCAACCUUCCUAAUGCUAUAGCCCUUUAAUACAAUUCCUCAUUUGGUGGUGACCUCAACCAGAAGAUUAAUUCAUUGCUACUUCAUAGCUAUAAUUUUGCCACUGUUAUGAAUCAUAAAUAACUGAUAUGCAGGAUAUCUGAUAUGUGAUCUCAGUGGAAGGGUCAUUUGAUUGAGAAGUCUAAGUGGGAUGUCUAGCAUGAAGAGAAAUCUUAAGAGUUUGAAAAGCACCACUGGGGUGUUUUGUUAAAGAUCCUAGAAUUUGGGUUUGUCUGACAGUUUUGUUUCCAUAACUAAGAAGUUUAGAAAGGAAGACUACCAAUGUGAUAUCGUACGGACAAAGGAUACAUGCUGUUAAGGAUGGUGCUGAUCUUGACCAGUUCUAGCAAGACAUUAUUGAUGACAAUUUUCUCCAUUGUAGUUAGCUAGUUAUACUUAUUCAUAACAUUCAUGAUUCAUUUUCUUCCUCAAAUUCUUGCAGCUUUGUCCACUGAGUGCUUCAUUAAGUGGCUUGUGUAUCAAUUAGACACAUCCGUCUAGGUUUUAAAUUCCCGUCUUGAUUGCUUUCUGAGCACUGCCUUCCUCCCUAGAACCACAGGGCUCUCCAGUCUGUGUGUUUCUCAUACUAGCCCUGGACCUGGCCUUUCUCAAAGCCCUCCUGAUUCACCUGGUUGGAGAAUACCAUUAUUUCUCUUAAUUGUCUUUACCACGAUCUCCCUGUCCUUCCAUGUCAUGUCAGGAUCACAGUUACUUUCCCUUGCCUCUUAGAAAUCCUUGGAGCACCUUUAAAGAUGGCCUCACAGAUGUGUGGAAGAUGGGCAAACUUCAUGGCACUGGGACCCCCUUCUUUCACAUCUCUUGCUUCUCUGCUUCUACUAACAUUGACAUUUUCCCCUCCCUGCACCAAUGAGUGCCAGUAGUAAAUUUUUUUACAAACUUUUUACAAAGCAUAGAGUGGCUAUUAGGAGAAGUGAGCUCCAACUAUCUCAAGUGACAUAUUUUUUUAAAUUAAUGCUGCUCCCAUUUUCUCGCUUUCUCAGACACAUUAAUGCAACAAGAAUCAUGUUGGCGUCUGAGGAAACAAAUGGAGAGAACAGCAAUUUAAGGGGAGGAGGUGAUCGCCUCCAUUCCCAAUCUGGGUACACUCCGGGGCAGUUCACAAUACGCAUGCAGAAUGUCAGAGCGCAGCAUGGAAGUCUAGUUGGAGUUCCAACUGCUGCAAGAACACGUUUCCUCUGUGACUGGCACCGAUGCUUAUUUUCCAUCACUCUGGAAGCCUUUGAAGAAGAUGCUCUGCUGAUGGGUUCCCUGCAACGACACACAGGGCCAGAUUACAGGGAUCACGGAGAUGACGACCCACAGCAUUAGGGAAGAGAAGCAGCUGCAUUGAUAAGGAGCAGAUGCAUAAAGUCUGUUUUGGAAAGGAAGUGAAGAAGAACUUCUGACCUUCAAAAUCCAGUGCCGUGUGUACAACACAGCAUAGAGCCAGGCAUUAUGGGGAAGCAGCUAUUGUCUAAUUCUCCAGUUCCCUGUUCACAUAUCUCUAGCAACAGACAAGCCCUGAGAGCUCCAAGUACAAAAGUCUGGGAAAAAAGAAGAAGUUAAAAUUGGUCUCCGUUUUUAACCAUUGGAGUGUACCAGAGCUGAAGGCAAACAGAAGGUACCUUAAAGGAGGCUGCUCUUUGAAGAAAACCAUACUCAACCACCCACUCAUGAAAUACAGCUCAUUUUUAUGUUUUGAAACCAGGAGAUCACUGGGAAAGUCAGGAGAUUACAUGGGAAGAGUGAGAGGCAGGUCCAAGGAAAGUUCCAUGCCAGACAACAGCCCAACAUGGCCACUGAGCCAUCACUAAAAACAAUACAAGGCCAGAGAAUGGAACCCAGAAAGGAACAUGUGUGAAUUGGAAGGAACAACUUGUUGACCUGCUCGAGAAGAAAACAUCUAAGAAGCUCAUCUGAAUAUUAGCAAAAACAACAGUAAAGCUCCAGGGCCUUCUAUAAAAAGUAGAUGUGUGAAUUAUGUAACUUUGUCCUUUCUACAUGGAAUGUCUAAGAUUCCGGCCAAAAUUCAAUUAUCCCGAAGUGAACAUUGGGUCCCUAGUGCCUAUGGCAUGGCCUUCCUUGACUGCUUAACUACUGGUAUAGCCAAGUGUUCUUCUGAGUUAAUAGAUCAACUAAUACACAUCAGUUUAAAGAGAGAGCAACAUUUUGACCCUCUCAGGAACUGGACUAUGUCUGGUCCUGUCAAAGCCGUCUGACCUCUUGCUUUUACAUUGUCAGUCUUGAUCAUUUUUUCUACUUGGUCUGAAUGCCCUUCCAUCAAACCUUAGCCAGGACUUUAGAGACCAGAGCAUUGAUGCAUUAAAAAUAGAAAAAGAACCAAUUAAGCCCCUACACUCUAAAUCAGAGCUAUUUGCAUCUGUGAGGGAACUCUGACAAGCGUGACAAGCAGCCAGAGCUAAUGAAAGUCUCAGCUCUCCCAGAAGUCACAUCAGGUCAUUUGCUGACACCUCUCGAUACUAGCUGGGGCCUUUGAACUGAGUCUAGAGCCAGGUAGGGGCCCUUGCCCAGUUCCUUUCACAUUCCAAAGAUAUAUCUCUUGUCUUCAAUAUAUUCAAGCAAAAAGACAGCUAAUAUACUAGCUUUUUCUUCUUUUACUCAAAGGGCCUACACUAUGCAACACAAAUUCUUCAUUGAAGACUUAGCUCUAGAACUUUUCAUGCUAAUGGAAAAACCAUAUGUUAUAGUUCCCUCCCACUAUAUGAUGGUGUCUCUUCUGCUACUCAAGUCUGUGAGAAUCAGGGCCAGAUUCAACUUUUUUUAGAAAAUGUAACGCUUUCUCCUAGAAAUUUUCAUUGCAGUACACUUACUGGAUGAAUUCCCCUAAAUAAUUAUUUUUAUAAAAUAUUAGUAGAUGAGAGACAGUCUUUGUUUUCUCAGUGCUCCUAACACUAUCUAAAAUGAAGAUGGAAAUAAAAUGAAAUGAACAAAUGCACAGCAAUCCUUUUUACCAUUGUGUUCUGUUUCAGAAUUUAACAGGCUUCUGAUUCAAAAUGGCAGCAGUCUGAGCUGAGCCUAUACUUUCACUUCAAAUUUUCCCAGAAUUACCUGAAUCUCAAUCUCUCUCUCUCUCUCUCUCUCUCUCUCACACACACACACACACACACACACACACACACACACACAUACAUACACACACACACAC